AGAUUGAACGCUGGCGGCAGGCCUAACACAUGCAAGUCGAGCGGUAGAGAGGUGCUUGCACCUCUUGAGAGCGGCGGACGGGUGAGUAAUGCCUAGGAAUCUGCCUAGUGGUGGGGGAUAACGUUCGGAAACGGACGCUAAUACCGCAUACGUCCUACGGGAGAAAGCGGGGGACCUUCGGGCCUCGCGCCAUUAGAUGAGCCUAGGUCGGAUUAGCUAGUUGGUGAGGUAAUGGCUCACCAAGGCGAUGAUCC
rnacentral:rRNA from 1 species